GAUGAACGCUAGCUACAGGCUUAACACAUGCAAGUCGCGGGGCAGCAUGGGGGUUGCUUGCAACCCCUGAUGGCGACCGGCGCACGGGUGAGUAACGCGUAUCCAACCUGCCCUUCACCACGGGAUAACCCGGCGAAAGUCGGACUAAUACCGUAUGUUGUCCAUUGACGGCAUCCGAUUUGGACGAAAGGCUUGGCGGUGAGAGGAUGGGGAUGCGUCCGAUUAGCUUGACGGCGGGGUAACGGCCCACCGUGGCUACGAUCGGUAGGGGUUCUGAGAGGAAGGUCCCCCACACUGGAACUGAGACACGGUCCAGACUCCUACGGGAGGCAGCAGUGAGGAAUAUUGGUCAAUGGGCGUAAGCCUGAACCAGCCAAGUAGCGUGCAGGAUGACGGCCCUAUGGGUUGUAAACUGCUUUUAUGCGGGGAUAAAGUGGCCCACGUGUGGGCUUUUGCAGGUACCGCAUGAAUAAGGACCGGCUAAUUCCGUGC
rnacentral:rRNA from 1 species